GCGCCUAACACAUGCAAGUCGAGCGAUCGGCCUGCCAAAGCCGCAAGGCCGAGGCAGGUACGGAGCGGCAAACGGGUGAGUAACACGUAGCCAACCUGCCUCCGCGACGGGGAUAACCCGGGGAAACCCGGGCUAAUACCCGAUGGUCUUCCCGGGGCACAAGCCCUGGGAAGUAAAGGCACCUUGGUGUCGCGCGGAGAGGGGGCUGCGGCCCAUCAGCUCGUUGGUGGGGUAACGGCCCACCAAGGCGACGACGGGUAGGGGGCCUGAGAGGGUGGCCCCCCACAUGGGGACUGAGACACGGCUCCGACUCCUACGGGAGGCAGCAGUGGGGAAUCUUGGGCAAUGGGCGAAAGCCUGACCCAGCGACGCCGCGUGCGGGACGAAGCCCUUCGGGGUGUAAACCGCUUUUCUGGGGGACGAAUAAGGUGGGGAGGGAAUGCCCUGCCGAUGACGGUACCCUAGGAAUCAGCCACGGCUAACUACGUGCCAGCAGCCGCGGUAAGACGUAGGUGGCGAGCGUUACCCGGAUUCACUGGGCGUAAAGGGCGCGUAGGCGGUUUGGCAAG
rnacentral:rRNA from 1 species